rnacentral:rRNA from 1 species
UACGGGGGGGGCAAGCGUUGUUCGGAAUUACUGGGCGUAAAGGGCCAGUAGGCGGCUGAGUAAGUCUGCUCUGAAAGCCCGGGGCUCAACCCCGGAACUGCCUUUAAGACUGCAUCGCUUGAAUCCAGGAGAGGUGAGUGGAAUUCCGAGUGUAGAGGUGAAAUUCGUAGAUAUUCGGAAGAACACCAGUGGCGAAGGCGGCUCACUGGACUGGUAUUGACGCUGAGGUGCGAAAGCGUGGGGAGCAAACAGG